rnacentral:rRNA from 1 species
AGUGAACGCUGGCGGCGUGCUUAACACAUGCAAGUCGAACGAGAACGGAUUAUAGCUUGCUAUAAUUGUCAGCUAAGUGGCGCACGGGUGAGUAAUGUAUAGGUAAUAUGCCUCUUACUAAGGGAUAACAAAUGGAAACGAUUGCUAAUACCUUAUACUCCUUAUUAACCUAAGUUAAUAAGGGAAAGAUUUAUUGGUAAGAGAUUAGCCUGUAUUGUAUCAGUUAGUUGGUGGGGUAAUGGCCUACCAAGACUAUGACACAUAACUGGUUGGAGAGGAUGAUCAGUCACACUGGAACUGAGACACGGUCAAGACUCCUAAGGGAGGCAGCAGUGGGGAAUAUUGCACAAUGGACGAAAGUCUGAUGCAGCAACGCCGCGUGGAGGAUGACACAUUUCGGUGCGUAAACUCCUUUUAUAUGAGAAGAUAAUGACGGUAUUAUAUGAAUAAGCACCGGCUAACUCCGUGCCAGCAGCCGCCGUAA